rnacentral:rRNA from 1 species
ACACGGGACUGCCGGUCUUAAGCCGGAGGAAGGUGGGAUGAUGUCAAGUCAGCAUGGCCUUUAUAUCCUUGGGCUACACACACGCUACAAUGGCCAACACAAUAGGUUGCUAAGCCGCGAGGUGGCGCCAAUCCAUAAAGUUGGUCUCAGUUCAGAUUGUAGGCUGCAACCCGCCUGCAUGAAGAUGGAGUUGCUAGUAACCGCAGGUCAGCUAUACUGCAGUGAAUACGUUCCCGGGGCUU